GUCUGUGGUCAUGAUUACACCUCCUUGUUUCCUCCUGUGCUGAGCCCUUUCCUUGUGUCCAUUCCACCAGACUUUUCUACCCUGAGUGCGAGAUAAGAACGAUGGGUGGAAGAGAGCAACGCCAGAGCCCAGGCGCCCAGAGGACUUUCUUCCAGCUUCUGCUGUCCUUCUUUGUGGAGAGCAAGCUCCACGACCACGCUGCUUACUUAGUAGACAACCUGUGGGACUGUGCAGGGACUCAGCUGAAGGACUGGGAGGGUCUGACAAGCCUGCUGCUGGAGAAGGACCAGAGCACGUGCCACAUGGAGCCAGGGCCAGGGACCUUCCACCUCCUAGGGUGAAACCAGGAGAGAUUGCUUGCUUCACUUGUACAAGGCAGGAACGGUGGCAUGGGGUGGGGGAAACUUGGAGUUGGAAGGUGGCUAAUCUUUGAUUCUAUGUUUUUGAUCCUCCUGGCACUCCAGACCUGGGUGAUGUGCAGGAGAGCACACUGAUAGAAAUCCUUGUGUCCAGUGCCCAGCAACUCCUGCCUCAGCCUCCCGAGCAGCUGGGACUACAGGUGCCCGCCACCACGCCCGGCUAACUUUUUUGUAUUUUUAGUAGAGACGGGUUUUCACCGUGUUAGCCAGGAUGGUCUUGAUCUCUUGACCUUGUGAUCCACCUGCCUCAUCAUCCCAAAGUGCUGGGAUUACAGGCGUGAGCCACUGCGCCCAGCAUGUUAGACAAUUUUUAAUUCAUCCUCUCUGUGCUGUUGUUUUCUCAGCUGUGAAAGGAAUAUUCUGGUGGGGACAAGGUUACAGAGUUGCUGAGAGGGUCUCAUGACAUGAAGGUACUGGCCUUGGCACAGUGCCUGGGGGGGCGGGGACUCCGCACAUGCCUGUGAUGUCACAGUUACUGUCAGUUCACAGCGAACCUUCCCUCCUUUUCCUGUUGACUUUCCCACACUCCUGUAACCGUCCCUCCCUCCCUUCUUCCUCUCUCUCUCACUCACGCACACGCACACACACACACACACACUCCAUUCACUGUCUCCAUGACUCUGGAGUAAACUAACGUCUCGAGUUGCCAUUGGAAGCCCCAUUGUCCUCAUUUUGUUUUGUUUUGUUUGUUUGAGACGGGGUCUCGCUCUGUCCCCCAGGCUGGAGUGCAGUGGUGCGAUCUCAGCCCACUGCAGCCUCUGCCUCCUAGGUUCAAGCGAUUCUCCUGCCUCACCCUCCUGAGAAGCUGUGAUCAUAGGUGCCCGCCACCACACCCGACUAAUUUUUGUGUUUUUUAGUAGAGACAGGGUUUCACUAUGUUGGCCAGGCUGGUCUCGAACUCCUGACCUCAGGUGAUCCGCCCACCUUGGCCUCCCAAAGUGCUGGGAUUACAGGAGUGAGCCACCACGCCCAGCCUCCGUUGUCCUCAUUUAGACUUUCCUGGGUUAUAGGCACUUUU
rnacentral:lncRNA from 1 species